rnacentral:piRNA from 1 species
GAGACUGGAGAAGAAAACAAAAUUUGAUG